CUCUGCCCGCGGCUGUGGCGGCGCCGGCGGAUCCAGCCUUAGCGGUUCCUCUCUGGGCGGCGGCGGCGGCGGCUCGGUUGACGCCUCCUCCGCCAGCUGAGCCCGCCGGAGCCCGGGACGCCGCUUCCCCGCCCAUCCCCGCUCCCCGAGGCCGGCCGCCUGGUCAUGGCGCAGCCGGGCCCGGCUUCCCAGCCUGACGAGGAUCUGAAGAGGCAAAAUGCAGUAUUACAAGCUGCACAAGAUGAUUUGGGACACCUUCGAACCCAGCUGUGGGAAGCUCAAGCAGAGAUGGAGAAUAUUAAGGCGAUUGCCACAGUCUCUGAGAACACCAAGCAAGAAGCUAUAGAUGAAGUGAAAAGACAGUGGAGAGAAGAAGUUGCUUCACUUCAGGCUGUUAUGAAAGAAACAGUUCGUGACUAUGAGCACCAGUUCCACCUUAGGCUGGAGCAGGAGCGAACACAGUGGGCACAGUAUAGAGAAUCCGCAGAGAGGGAAAUAGCUGAUUUAAGAAGAAGGCUGUCUGAAGGUCAAGAGGAGGAAAAUUUAGAAAAUGAAAUGAAAAAGGCCCAAGAGGAUGCUGAGAAACUUCGGUCCGUUGUGAUGCCAAUGGAAAAGGAAAUUGCAGCUUUGAAGGAUAAACUGACAGAGGCUGAAGACAAAAUUAAAGAGCUGGAGGCCUCAAAGGUUAAAGAACUGAAUCAUUAUCUGGAAGCUGAGAAAUCUUGUAGGACUGAUCUAGAGAUGUAUGUAGCUGUUUUGAAUACUCAGAAAUCUGUUCUACAGGAAGAUGCUGAGAAACUGCGGAAAGAAUUGCAUGAAGUUUGCCAUCUCUUGGAGCAAGAGCGACAACAACACAACCAGUUAAAACAUACGUGGCAGAAGGCCAAUGACCAGUUUCUGGAAUCUCAGCGUUUACUGAUGAGAGACAUGCAGCGAAUGGAGAUUGUGCUAACUUCAGAACAGCUCCGACAAGUUGAAGAACUGAAGAAGAAAGAUCAGGAGGAUGAUGAACAACAAAGACUCAAUAAGAGAAAGGAUCACAAAAAAGCAGAUGUUGAGGAAGAAAUAAAAAUACCAGUAGUGUGUGCUUUAACUCAAGAAGAAUCUUCAGCCCAGUUAUCAAAUGAAGAGGAGCAUUUAGACAGCACCCAUGGUUCAGUUCAUUCCUUAGAUGCAGACUUAUUGUUGCCAUCUGGAGAUCCUUUCAGUAAAUCGGACAAUGACAUGUUUAAAGAUGGACUCAGGAGAGCACAGUCUACAGACAGCUUGGGAACCUCGGGCUCAUUGCAAUCCAAAGCUUUAGGCUAUAACUACAAAGCAAAAUCUGCUGGAAACCUGGAUGAGUCAGAUUUUGGACCACUGGUAGGAGCAGAUUCAGUGUCUGAGAACUUUGAUACUGCAUCCCUUGGGUCACUCCAGAUGCCAAGUGGGUUUAUGUUAACCAAAGAUCAGGAAAGAGCAAUCAAGGCGAUGACACCAGAACAAGAAGAGACAGCGUCCCUCCUCUCCAGCGUUACCCAGGGCAUGGAGAGUGCCUAUGUGUCCCCUAGUGGUUAUCGUUUAGUUAGUGAAACAGAAUGGAAUCUCUUGCAGAAAGAGGUACAUAAUGCUGGAAAUAAACUUGGUAGACGUUGUGAUAUGUGUUCCAAUUACGAAAAACAGUUACAAGGAAUUCAGAUUCAGGAGGCUGAAACGAGAGACCAGGUGAAAAAACUACAGCUGAUGCUAAGGCAAGCUAAUGACCAGUUAGAGAAGACAAUGAAAGAUAAGCAGGAGCUGGAAGACUUCAUAAAGCAAAGCAGCGAAGAUUCGAGUCACCAGAUCUCUGCACUCGUCCUAAGAGCCCAGGCCUCCGAGAUCUUACUUGAAGAGUUACAGCAGGGGCUUUCCCAGGCAAAGAGGGAUGUUCAGGAACAGAUGGCGGUGCUGAUGCAGUCACGGGAACAGGUUUCAGAAGAGCUGGUGAGGUUACAGAAAGAUAAUGACAGUCUCCAGGGAAAGCACAGCCUGCAUGUGUCAUUACAGCAAGCAGAAGACUUCAUCCUCCCAGACACUGCAGAGGCACUGCGGGAGUUGGUAUUAAAAUACCGUGAGGACAUCAUUAAUGUGCGGACAGCAGCAGACCACGUAGAAGAAAAGCUGAAGGCUGAGAUACUUUUCCUAAAAGAGCAGAUCCAAGCAGAACAGUGUUUAAAAGAAAAUCUUGAAGAAACUCUGCAACUAGAAAUAGAAAACUGCAAGGAGGAAAUAGCUUCUAUUUCUAGCCUAAAAGCUGAAUUAGAAAGAAUCAAAGUGGAAAAAGGACAGGUAAGUCGUGAGUUUCAAAUUAAUUCUAUCAGCAACCAGUGGUUAUUUAUUGACUCCUACUAUGCUGCACCCAACGAAUAAAAAAUAGUUAAGGCAUGGGCCCUGCCUUAAGGAACUUUUGUCUUGUGGGAAGAAAACCACGGGGUAAGGGUGUGCUGGUGAUUUAUUGACAGUGCCCUGUGUGUCAGGCUAGGUUAAACUGGAGGAGGUAAGGCUAAGAUGUGACUGUGGCCUGGAGUUUCCAGUGUAGUGAGAAGAUAGGCAAGGCAUGGUCAUAACAUGUUAUAUGCUUAGAGGUACAGUAGAAAUAUGUAUAAUAAAAAACAUUACAAACAAGAGAUGACAUUUUCUAGCUGGCUUAGUCCUCUUAGACAUCAUGAGUUCCUUUCAUAGUAACCCCAUUCAACUUCCUGACCUCACUGUUCCUUGAUUUAGAGAUUUUCACCUCCACCCUGCUCUCCCUU
rnacentral:sRNA from 1 species